UAGGGCCAUAUCACGUUAAAACACUGAUUCCCGUAUGAUCAUCGAACUUAAUCAAUGUCGAGCCUGAUCAGUACUUAGGUAGGUGACCGCUUGAGAAUACCAGGUGCUGUAA